AGAGAUGGUUGGCAUCUCCCCUGACAGGGACGGGAACAGCUUUCGGGCUUUCCUGUUAACACAUCCGGUUAAGGCUUCCCACCUAUUUGGUGGAUCUAUAACCCAAUUUUUUUCCCCUUUUCCUACAAAACUACCUAUAAUUUGGCUUUAGGGCUUUAAUCUCAUUUACGAUGCUUUAGGGCUCAUUUACCAUUCAGCUCAAUGCAACGGGAUGCACAUAUAGGUCGAGAUCGGUAUAUAAGCUUAAGCCUGGAAGAAUUGGUUGCAUGAGCAGGCCCAAGGUUUUGACAGUAGUUUCCAUCAUCAUCUUUUCAUGUUUCCUACGGUUUCCUCUGCGAUCUUUUGCGUUUUCAUAUCAUUAUCUGAUCUGUGAUAGGUAUGGAUGAAUUUACUCUCUUGUUGAUUUGCAGAAAAGUAAUAUAUAUAAUUUGUCCAGGGCUCCAAGGUUUGGUCUUUUUUUUCCUUUUUCAAAGUCCUAACUUGGGAAGUGUCUCGGCUGCAAACUUGAAACUGAAACUUUCCCAAAUAGUACAGGAUACGCCUACGAGAAUAGACUCACCUCACCUGACCCUCUCUUCAUGUAGACGGGUUUCAAUUCAAAGAUAACAUUAUUGUAAGGAGGAAAAGAAACGCAAUUUCUGGAUUAUUUCCCAAAUUGAAUUUUGCAGUUUUGGAUGGAUUGAAGUGUGCCAAUUCACGUGAAUGAAUGGGUGAAGCAUGAAGGUUUCAGUGGCUACCGUUAGCAAUUUAGCAUCACUGACCAUGCUCAGAUUAUUUCCUCCAAAUAUUUAGUGUUAUCAUGAUCUACUGUUUACAGAACCAUCUUGGUGAAAUCCUUGAGCUUAAUUCCAAGCUUACUGAAGCUCCUGGCAUGUCUGUAGAUCGGGUGUUACAAUGAUAUAUUCGUUAUAUGUCUGGUCCUCCAUCACUGUUGAUAGAGAUUUACUUGCGGGAAGCGGGUUUUUGACACUUAACCACUAUAGGCCGGGGGUGCAAGUUGGACCCGAAACUCAUCAGUGCGUUGAUAGAGAGGUAGAGACCCGAGAUGCACACAUUUCAUCUUCCAUACGGAGUGUACCAUCACUUUGGAGGAUGUGCAGAUACAAUUGGGAUUGCCGGUGGAUGUGUCCGCACUCACCGGGUUCAUAAAGUUUCAAUGGACACUAUACGAGGAUCCAAAAAUUCGAGCAGUAAUUCUGGAUAAGUCCUAUUGGUCAACUAUGCUUUCGUGGAUAUGCACCAGACGUAUAGAGUGUUGCGACAAUUUGGAUUUCGACAACCGAUUCUCGUGGCACCUGAGGUACUCGAUGAUUAGCACAAAAUCAACUUACGGCAAUCGAAUACGAAUUGGUCGGUAUUCUGGUCGGAAUAUAUUCAAAUAUGGGAAAAUUGGUAUGAUCAUAUACCUACUCGGAACUGAUUAUCGUUCCAGAGUUAGUGUGCGUGCCGGAUUACAUGCCAUGGUUUAGGAUCCAUGGCAAGUCAUAUUUACUGUCAGAAGAACAGAGGCGUUGGUAAAUUCAUGUCGAAAGGGAACGACGCAGCCCUUUAAAUCUAAGGAGAAGGGAUGACGGCACGGGCCCAUCAAUAGCGCCCACACAAUCACCGGACCCAAUGCCUCAACCGACGACAUCCACAUCACAGCCUCUUCAGAUUAUGCCAGGUGCAUAUCCUAGCCCUUAUAUGUAUCCUAACCCUUAUAUAUUUCAUUUUCCCGAUCCUAUGCCAGGUUGGAAUGCAUGACUCGGUGCAUCUCCUUUCCCGAUGAAUCUAACUCAACCGACGGUAUAUAAUUCACCGUCACAGGAGGGAUCGCACGAGGUGCCGUCCGAGAGCUCUUUUCAUUACCAACCCCAUUGCCUUAUGGGAUUCAAACACCUCCGUCGUGGGUAAUGCAAACACCUCCGUAUUCUUUAUUCUAUCAAGGUGGGUCAUCCUCUCAACACCCACAACCACAACCCCCGUCGGAGCAACCACAACCCCCACCGGAAGCUGAACCAAGGAGGAAUCCAGCACGUAACCAUUGACAAUCCCCAUGUGGCAUUGAUUUCGACUGGUACCAACAUUAAUUUUUUUAAUAUAUUUGUACAAACUAUUUUUAUAUAGUUUUAUUUAAUAAAAUAAAAGUUGUUUUUAAUA